GGGCUUCAAAAUUCAUCGCUCAGCCACUACCUUGAUGAGGCCGGCUUGCCGGCUAUGGCGAUAAACGGCCCGUGCAAUAAGCGGAUCGGACCCGGGGGCGGUGCCCGGCGGCUCCACCAAAGGCUCUCGACAGCGAACGGGGGUCUUCGGCGGGGCCGAAACAGGAUCGACGGACGUGUAAAGACGACGCUUUCGCCCGGAUGGUCUCCGUUAUUGGACCAACCUUGAUAGUUGCCAACGACAACUACUCGGAAGAGUUCGCUCUCGCUGCGUAAGCGGCUGAGCUGCUCAAAUGCUAAGUCCUGACCCCUUCCAAGGUCAGGCGGGGCCCCCCGGCGCCUGGCAACAGAAGCCGGGACC
rnacentral:tmRNA from 1 species